AACCUGCCCGUCCGCAUACAGCGUGUUGAGCAUCGUGGUCGGCGACAAGAAGUCCCUGUUCCGGAGGUUUUUAGCGCUGCUCUCCUUGAACCAUAGCUUCUCCGUCUCAGGGAAGAUCCUUUCGCCGUUUUCCCGGCUGCCAUCGAGGACAUCCUCUCGUUUCACCCGCAGUGCGGAGCUCAGCGCCCGGACGGUCGGGGUGAUCCGGAGGGGCGAAUACUCCUCGGUGUUCUCCAUCAGCAACACUAACAGGUGAGUGUCACUCAGGUCUCAACAAGCAUCUGGGAACAUUGGAGGAAGCAGAUGAGGGGGAGCAGUACAGGCCACCAGAACACAUGCAGCCCUUCAACACCAGAGUGUUCGUGGUGGAGGACGCCGGGCUGCAGAGGCUGAUGGACCAUGAAAAGGAAAUGCACGACAAUCUGAUGAGUCAGCUGAUCAUGCAUGAAAGGAUCAGCUGAGGAAACCACGAGAGACACCCUGGACUCGUGGACGGGAUAUUGUUGAGGUUCCCUUCACCUCACUGCCCUGACACUUCCUUUGGGAGCGACAUUGGAGAGCGUUAUUCAGGUGAAGGGAACACCGCUCUGAUGUGCCUAAGCCCUCGUAUUUUUCAACAGUGGGCCAACUGAGAUCAUGUCCUCUUUAACGUGGACUCUGCUCAGUUGUGUCUAAUAAAAAUCCAGGACACAUUACAGUCAUGCUCUCUGACUCACUGCUCAUAUAAUGUAGUGUUUUUAUCAAUUUAUUUAACCUUAAAACGAUACCAUUAUAAAGUGAUUGUGGCUAAAAAUACCAAAGGACUAUGAAGCUGCAUCAUAUUAAUAAAGACAUUUAAUAUGACAACAUUCCCCCUAAAGAAUUAUGUUAAAUAUCAAUUCCAAUGCAAUUUUACAUUCAGAUGAAGCCCAUUAAAAUAUGGCCAGGGAGACCCGUGAUACUGCAAACCUUUUUCUAUCCUAACAAUAAAGAUAACAACAGGACCUUUUCAUGCUUGUUUUUACAUUCAAAUAAUGUACCAGAAUUUAAAGAAAGCAUUUCUGUGUCAACAAUUCAUAUCAUAUCAUAUUUGAGCUGUGCUGCCCAAAUUAAGGGAAAACCAGAGUAAGCUAUUUAAAUAUAUAUAUGGUAUGUGUACACACCACUGUUACAAUGUAGUGAAGGAGAGAGAGCUCCUCAGUAGUUUGUGAAUGCUCAGUGUGACGUCGCACAGAUCAUAAAUGCUAAAUGGGAAAUGUACUCAAUAACUGAACAAACAUAAGGAGAAUAAUACAAAAUAUAUACAUUUAGAGUUAUUAUAUAGAGAACAUAAAAGGAAUGUCCACUUUAAAAAGUGAGAAUUCCAAAUGAUGUGCAGUUGGUGCUAUAGGUGUCAUUCUUUGCUGACACGAAAUUCCCGGUUGCGUUUCCUAUUCUCAGCAAUCCGGGAGAAAACGUGUCAUUGAGGAAAAGCACCUUCAAACUCAGUCUUUACGCUCCUAUACAUCCGGGUCAAAAUGGAAAAGCAGCAUAUAACAGAGACCAUGGUAUUCAUUUAACUUUCCUUUUGUGUUUGAGAGAAACAAAACCAAUUCACUUUGAACCAUCUACAUCAGAAUGUGUAGACUGGUAUAAGCUAAACUGGUUUUGGU